rnacentral:misc_RNA from 1 species
UUUCCGUAGGUGAACUUGCGGAAGGAUCAUUCAUAAUAAAGUGUUUUAUGGCACUUUUUAAAAAUCCAUAUCCACCUUGUGUGCAAUGUUAGAUCUCGUCAAUCUUGGCGAGAUUUUUAUACAUCAACUCAUUCUUUAACUAAUUUGUCUGAAAAAUAUUAUGAAUACUUAAUUCAAAAUACAACUUUCAACAACGGAUCUCUUGGCUCUCGCAUGGAUGAAGAACGCAGC